rnacentral:rRNA from 1 species
AGCGAACGCUGGCGGCAGGCUUAACACAUGCAAGUCGAACGGGCGUAGCAAUACGUCAGUGGCAGACGGGUGAGUAACGCGUGGGAACGUACCUUUUGGUUCGGAACAACACAGGGAAACUUGUGCUAAUACCGGAUAAGCCCUUACGGGGAAAGAUUUAUCGCCGAAAGAUCGGCCCGCGUCUGAUUAGCUAGUUGGUGAGGUAAUGGCUCACCAAGGCGACGAUCAGUAGCUGGUCUGAGAGGAUGAUCAGCCACACUGGGACUGAGACACGGCCCAGACUCCUACGGGAGGCAGCAGUGGGGAAUAUUGGACAAUGGGGGCAACCCUGAUCCAGCCAUGCCGCGUGAGUGAUGAAGGCCCUAGGGUUGUAAACUUCUUUUAGACGGGACAAAACCCCUUUACGUGUAAAGGGUUGAUGGUACUGUCAGAAUAAGCAUCGGCUAACUUCGUGCCAGCAGCCGCGGUAAGUCUCGCGUGA